rnacentral:rRNA from 1 species
CCCUUCGGGGUACUCGAGUGGCGAACGGGUGAGUACACGUGGGUGAUCUGCCCUGCACUUUGGGAUAAGCCUGGGAAACUGGGUCUAAUACCGAAUAUGACCAUGCGNCNNNNGGUGUGUGGUNGNNNGCUUUUGCGGUGUGGGAUGGGCCCGCGGCCUAUCAGCUUGUUGGUGGGGUAAUGGCCUACCAAGGCGACGACGGGUAGCCGGCCUGAGAGGGUGACCGGCCACACUGGGACUGAGAUACGGCCCAGACUCCUACGGGAGGCAGCAGUGGGGAAUAUUGCACAAUGGGCGCAAGCCUGAUGCAGCGACGCCGCGUGAGGGAUGACGGCCUUCGGGUUGUAAACCUCUUUCAGCACAGACGAAGCGCAAGUGACGGUAUGUGCAGAAGAAGGACCGGCCAACUACGUGCCAGCAGCCGCGGUAAUACGUAGGGUCCGAGCGUUGUCCGGAAUUACUGGGCGUAAAGAGCUCGUAGGUGGUUUGUCGCGUUGUUCGUGAAAACUCACAGCUUAACUGUGGGCGUGCGGGCGAUACGGGCAGACUUGAGUACUGCAGGGGAGACUGGAAUUCCUGGUGUAGCGGUGGAAUGCGCAGAUAUCAGGAGGAACACCGGUGGCGAAGGCGGGUCUCUGGGCAGUAACUGACGCUGAGGAGCGAAAGCGUGGGGAGCGAACAGGAUUAGAUACCCUGGUAGUCCACGCCGUAAACGGUGGGUACUAGGUGUGGGCUUCCUUCCUUGGGAUCCGUGCCGUAGCUAACGCAUUAAGUACCCCGCCUGGGGAGUACGGCCGCAAGGCUAAAACUCAAAGAAAUUGACGGGGGCCCGCACAAGCGGCGGAGCAUGUGGAUUAAUU